AGCGAACGCUGGCGGCAGGCUUAACACAUGCAAGUCGAGCGGGCAUCCUUGUGGUGUCAGCGGCAGACGGGUGAGUAACGCGUGGGAACGUGCCCUUCGGUUCGGAAUAACUCAGGGAAACUUGAGCUAAUACCGGAUACGUGCGAGAGCAGAAAGGUUUAUCUGCCGAAGGAUUGGCCCGCGUCCGAUUAGCUAGUUGGUGAGGUUAUGGCUCACCAAGGCGACGAUCAGUAGCUGGUCUGAGAGGAUGAUCAGCCACACUGGGACUGAGACACGGCCCAGACUCCUACGGGAGGCAGCAGUGGGGAAUAUUGGACAAUGGGGGCAACCCUGAUCCAGCCAUGCCGCGUGAGUGAUGACGGCCUUAGGGUUGUAAAGCUCUUUUCUCCGGGACGAUAAUGACGGUACCGGAGGAAUAAGCCCCGGCUAACUUCGUG
rnacentral:rRNA from 1 species